rnacentral:rRNA from 1 species
GACGAACGCUGGCGGCGUGCCUAACACAUGCAAGUCGAGCGAAGUUUAAGCAGUAGCGACUUCGGUCAAAGCAGCUUAAACUUAGCGGCGGACGGGUGAGUAACACGUAGGCAACCUGCCCAUGACACGGGGAUAGCUUCGGGAAACCGAAGGUAAUACCCGAUACCUUUACACAUUGCAUAAUGUAUAAAGAAAGCGACUAAGCGGUCAUGGAUGGGCCUGCGUCCCAUUAGCUAGUUGGUGAGAUAACAGCCCACCAAGGCGACGAUGGGUAGCCGGCCUGAGAGGGCGACCGGCCACACUGGAACUUAGACACGGUCCAGACUCCUACGGGAGGCAGCAGUGGGGAAUUUUGCGCAAUGGGGGAAACCCUGACGCAGCGACGCCGCGUGAGCGAAGAAGGCCUUCGGGUCGUAAAGCUCAGUCAUUGGGGAUGAAAAGGACAGUACCCAAAGAGGAAGCCCCGGCUAACUACGUGCCAGCAGCCGCGGUAACACGUAGGGGGCGAGCGUUGUCCGGAAUCACUGGGCGUA